GCUGGGCGUGGUGGUGCACACCUGUAAUCCCAGUGGCUUGGGAGGCUGAGGCAGGAGGAUGGCAAGUUCAAAGCCAGCCUCAGCAAUGGUGAGGCAGUAAGCAACUCAGCGAGACCCUGUCUCUA
rnacentral:sRNA from 1 species